AUGACAACAAUAAAAACGCGCCAAAAAACAUAUACCAUAUUAUACUCCGAUGAACAAAACUGUUGGUUGCAUCGAGAAUUGUUUACGUUGGACGGAAAUCAAUUACAAAUAGAGGAGAAACGUCAAAUGAGUACAUGCAAUGCUCAUAGUCAAGAAAAUCCUUCAACAACAGAUGCAACACAACAAAAUCCUCCAACAACAGAGAUCAAACAACAAUAUGAUUUUGGUCAUCGUGCUCCGCGACCGCGUUAUUGUUUUACCGAUACUCGUUUCGGACCGGGUCAUCAGCAUUAA